rnacentral:rRNA from 1 species
AUGGACGGAGAUCAUCGACGCAUGCUGGGAACUGGUGGACGUGUGGGAGUGGCACGACUACAACUUGUUGUCGCAGAAAAGGGUGGGGCUUUCGUCCUAGCCGUUCUUGAGGUCGGCGCACCUGGCUGCAGUGUCGUCGACCGGUUUGAGGCCACCGUUGCUCCUGUUGACGCUCUUGAGGUCGCAGCAGAACGAGCGGCUCUUGCUGACAUUCUUGAGGUCGCAGAAGGAGCCACCGUCACUGAUGCCGCUGACAUUCUUGAGGUCAUGGACGAAUUUGUCGUUGUUGAUGUUCUUGAGGUUGCGGACGGAUUUGUCGUUGUUGACGUUCUUGAGGUUGCAUGCUGA